GGCAAAAGGCUGACCCAUGAAAUCUCUUCCAGCAAGCCGGCACUGAGCAACCUGGAGAGCUUUCUUGAUCAGGGGAACAAUGUGAGCAGAGAACUGCAGAUGUGUGCCAUAGAAAUCUUGACAGAACUGGGUUUUGAUUCUUCGGCCAACCUCUGCACAGGAAUAAAAGAAAAUCUAAUAAAGAAGCAGUUGCAGAUAUUCCUUACUGAUGAUGAAGAGGGAGAAGAAAAGCUUAGAAAUACGGCUGGGAAAUCGCUGGCAUUACUUUCCAAGAUAAAAACUAUCUCUAUGUUCAUGAGACUCUAUGUUCAUAGUGAUGGAACAGAAUGA
rnacentral:rRNA from 1 species